UCUAGCUCAGUCACUAGAGCAUGGGACUCUUAAUCUCAGAGUUGUGGAUUCAAGCCCCACAUUGGGUAAAAG